GGAACCUGUACUCAGAUUUGUCACCUGUCAGUCUUUGACACUGCAUACAAUCCUGGACUGGCUUUGCUUAGGAUGAGAGAAACAAAUCAGGCAAAGUUUCCAGAAGGCUUGACUGGAGUGUGACAAUGAGGGGCUUCUAAGGUUUGAUCUGGUAUUACAAAGCAAGAAUGCUCACUCUCACUUCUAUUCAGCAUCAUAUGUGAAGGACCAAUAAAGAGCAAUCAAACAAGAAAAAGGCAUCCAGAUGAAAAAGUAAAAUUUUCUUUGUCUAUAGAUGACAUAGUCUAUUGUAGAAAGCCCUAAAGACUCUACCAAAAAGUUAUUGAAACUAUGAAGAAAUUCAAUAGGGUUCAGGAUAGAAAAUUGAUAUAAAAAUCAAUUGCAUUUCUUUACAUUAGUAAUAAUCUACUCCAAAAGGAAAUCCAGAAAAUAAUCUCAUUUAUAAUAGCAUCAAAAAAAGAACAUGUAGAAAUAAAUCUAAAACAUGAAAGAUCUAUAGACUGGAAACUAUAAAACAUUGAAGAAAGAAACUGAAGAAGACACAGUAAGUGGAAGGAUGUCUUGUGCCUAUGGAUUAGAAAAAUUAGUAUUGUUGAAACAGUCAUUAAAUCCCAAUCAGUCUACGGAUUCAAUGUAAUUCCUAUCAAAACUCCAAUGCUGUUUUGAGAAAAAGCAAUGAUACAAUGUGGGUAGAACCAUAAAAGACACUAAAUUGCCAAAAUAAUCUUGAGAAAAAACAAAGCUGGAUACAAAGAUUUUGAUUUCAAAAUGUAUUACAAAGCUAUAGUAAUCACCCAGCAAUAACUUUGGAUGUAGUUAGGGCUCACAAUAGACUGCUUGUUACUGCACUGGUUAUAAUCUUCAUACCUGAACAUGGAACAGAGACAGCAUCUUCACUCUUCAGCAAAAUAUAGGUGCUUCUUGGAUUUUAGGUAUAUGUUCCUUUCCAUCACUACCUAGCAAGACCAUGCUCACAUGGAGAGGAUAAUGCUGUAGGAACUAAAAUUGCAAAAACACUGUUUUCAGUCAAGAUGUGACUUCCUUAUUCAGUUGCAAGAAGCAUGAGAGCGUGUCAUCUGCAGGAAAAAUGGAUGGAUCUUAAAACCAUAAUGUUAAGUGAAAUACGU
rnacentral:lncRNA from 1 species